GACGAACGCUGGCGGCGUGCUUAACACAUGCGAGUCGAACGGUAAGGCCCUUCGGGGUACACGAGUGGCGAACGGGUGAGUAACACGUGGGUGAUCUGCCCUGCACUUCGGGAUAAGACUGGGAAACUGGGUCUAAUACCGGAUAGGACCACUGCCUGCAUGGGUGGUGGUGGAAAGCUUUUGCGGUGUGGGAUGGGCCCGCGGCCUAUCAGCUCGUUGGUGGGGUGAUGGCCUACCAAGGCGACGACGGGUAGCCGGCCUGAGAGGGUGACCGGCCACACUGGGACUGAGAUACGGCCCAGACUCCUACGGGAGGCAGCAGUGGGGAAUAUUGCACAAUGGGCGCAAGCCUGAUGCAGCGACGCCGCGUGAGGGAUGACGGCCUUCGGGUUGUAAACCUCUUUCAGCACCGACGAAGCGCAAGUGACGGUAGGUGCAGAAGAAGGACCGGCCAACUACGUGCCAGCCGCCGCCGUAA
rnacentral:rRNA from 1 species